CGGGACACGUGGUAUCCUGUCUGAAUAUGGGGGGACCAUCCUCCAAGGCUAAAUACUCCUGACUGACCGAUAGUGAACCAGUACCGUGAGGGAAAGGCGAAAAGAACCCCGGCGAGGGGAGUGAAAAAGAACCUGAAACCGUGUACGUACAAGCAGUGGGAGCACGCUUAGGCGUGUGACUGCGUACCUUUUGUAUAAUGGGUCAGCGACUUAUAUUCUGUAGCAAGGUUAACCGAAUAGGGGAGCCGAAGGGAAACCGAGUCUUAACUGGGCGUUAAGUUGCAGGGUAUAGACCCGAAACCCGGUGAUCUAGCCAUGGGCAGGUUGAAGGU
rnacentral:rRNA from 1 species